GUGCUUGCUUUGACAGCCCUUAUAUGAAAAUUGAAAUGAUAUGGAGAAGAUCCGCAUGGUCCCUGCAUAAGGAUGACGUACAAAUCAGUGAAGUGCUAUAUUAAAAA
ensembl:snRNA U6 U6 spliceosomal RNA